AGGUUGUGUUUACCCAGCCCUCAGAGGUCCUUAGCAGCUUUAGGACUGAUGUUUACAUGCAUGUACUCAGGUAAGCAGUAUGACCAGUAUAGCCCACUCCCUAGGGAUGCUCCAGCGUAUGAUUUCAACAUUGUUUAUCAGGACCCAGAGUCUCUCAUCCUGGCCAUGGAGAGAGUCACUGUACUGUUUGAUAGGAUAAAGAAGGGCUACCCAUACGAGGCCCGAGUCAUCACCC